GUGUGAGAUAUGGGGAUACAACCAUGA
rnacentral:piRNA from 1 species